AAGCAACACUCUGUGACAGAUUAUCACAGGUCUGGCACAAUUUGAGCUUGCUACAGCAAGGAAGUCUACCCUAUUCCGGCACUCUCUCCUCUGUGAGACAGGCCGUCACAUAGACUUGAACAGU
ensembl:snoRNA